AUAAUAUGUUAGAUAUAGUUAGUAUAUAGGUGCCUUGUAUCUGUUGGUGUGUUAUAUCAUUCUGACAUUGAGUGGAAAACAUGGAUUUUUCUCGUGCAUAUAAAAUCCAGCUGGUAGAGUCAAUCCGUUGAACUUUGAUUGUCUCUAUAUCUAUAGCGUAUGGGAUGCAGGCAUUAUAAUUUAUACUAAAUUUCAUCAGCUGUUCUACACAGGUAGGUGGUGAGUACAAGACAGUGCUAUCCUCGGUACACAGGAACUGGUCGUCGGAGGCGAGCUGCUCGCAGGGGUGUUGGACCGGCAGAUUAACCAAAUUUUCAAGAGUUGCUGGGUACAUUAAAUUUGCAUUUUUAGAAAUAGAUUGUAACAAAGAUAAUAAUUCUGUAGAGUUCACAAUACUUUGGUGUAAUACUGACAAUUUGCUGAAGGCCAACGCAGUUUCAAUUUCUUGUAUAGUAGUAUGAAUGGUUCGAAAAUUAUUUAAGAACAUAUUAAACAUACUUAAAAUGUAUACUGAGUAUA